rfam:Lupinus angustifolius cultivar Tanjil contig_1837, whole genome shotgun sequence.
AGAUGCGAUCAUACCAGCACUAAUACACCGGAUCCAUCAGAAUUCCAAAGUUAAGCUUGCUUCGGCGAGAGUAAUAUUAAGAUGGGUGACCUCCUAGGAAGUCCUCGUGUUUCUCCUC